UACGGGGGGGGCAAGCGUUGUUCGGAAUUACUGGGCGUAAAGGGCUCGUAGGUGGCCAACUAAGUCAGACGUGAAAUCCCUCGGCUUAACCGGGGAACUGCGUCUGAUACUGGAAGGCUUGAAUCCGGGAGAGGGAUGCGGAAUUCCAGGUGUAGCGGUGAAAUGCGUAGAUAUCUGGAGGAACACCGGUGGCGAAGGCGGCAUCCUGGACCGGUAUUGACGCUGAGGCGCGAAAGCCAGGGGAGCAAACGGG
rnacentral:rRNA from 1 species